rnacentral:tRNA from 1 species
CAUUAAGAAACUUUAAAUGAAGUAAAAGUCUCUUAAACUUAUAAUGGUUAUUAUAAUUAACCCUUAAUGA